rnacentral:rRNA from 1 species
AUUGAACGCUGGCGGAAUGCUUUACACAUGCAAGUCGAACGGCAGCACGGACUUCGGUCUGGUGGCGAGUGGCGAACGGGUGAGUAAUGUAUCGGAACGUGCCCAGUCGUGGGGGAUAACGUAGUGAAAAUUACGCUAAUACCGCAUACGAUCUAUGGAUGAAAGCGGGGGAUCGCAAGACCUCGCGCGAUUGGAGCAGCCGAUAUCAGAUUAGGUAGUUGGUGGGGUAAAGGCCCACCAAGCCAACGAUCUGUAGCUGGUCUGAGAGGACGACCAGCCACGCUGGAACUGAGACACGGUCCAGACUCCUACGGGAGGCAGCAGUGGGGAAUUUUGGACAAUGGGCGAAAGCCUGAUCCAGCCAUUCCGCGUGCAGGAUGAAGGCCCUCGGGUUGUAAACUGCUUUUGUACAGAACGAAAAGGUUUCUACUAAUACUAGGAGCUCAUGACGGUACUGUAAGAAUAAGCACCGGCUAACUACGUGCCAGCCGCCGCGGUA